rnacentral:rRNA from 1 species
CAAGUCGAACGCGAAAGGGACUUCGGUCCUGAGUAAAGUGGCGCACGGGUGAGUAACGCGUAGAUAACCUGUCUUCGAGUCUGGAAUAAUACACCGAAAGGGGUACUAAUACCGGAUAUUCUUGCGUUUCAUAAGGGACGUAAGCAAAGGUGGCCUCUGCAUAUGCUACUGCUUGAAGAGGGGUCUGCGUACCAUUAGCUAGUAGGUAGGGUAAUGGCCUACCUAGGCUACGAUGGUUAGCGGGUCUGAGAGGAUGAUCCGCCACACUGGCACUGGAACACGGGCCAGACUCCUACGGGAGGCAGCAGUGAGGAAUAUUGCGCAAUGGGGGAAACCCUGACGCAGCGACGCCGCGUGAGUGAGGAAGGCCUUCGGGUCGUAAAGCUCUGUCAAAGGGAAAGAAGUGCAUGGUGGCUAAUACCUGCCAUGUUUGACGGUACCCUUAAAGGAAGCACCGGCUAACUCCGUGCCAGCAGCCGCGGUAAUACGGAGGGUGCAAGCGUUGUUCGGAAUCACUGGGCGUAAAGGGCGCGCAGGCGGUUUGGUAAGUCAGAUGUGAAAGCCCACGGCUUAACCGUGGAAGUGCAUUUGAUACUGCUAGACUUGAGUACCAGAGGGGAAAGUGGAAUUCCCGGUGUAGAGGUGAAAUUCGUAGAU